UCAUAUUUAAUUAUUAGCUAUAUAAAUUUAAAGAGUAAUUAUCGUCGCUUACACUUAAGAAUUAUUUCAAUGGCAAUGAACCCCAAAGAAAAAUACAAUUUAGAAAAACAAAAGCGGGCGCCAUGAUUGCAUAGUGUUCGUCAUACGAGUCGCGACGAUACAAUGUAUUUCCUCGACGCGCGACUGUCGCGCGCCAAGAACAGUAGUAAAUUACAUGUUGGGGGAGGCACGCUAGCCUCUCGUGUUUGGGGAAACGCUUCGAGUCUCUCUGCUUUCGAAUAUCGUCUUCGCCAACCAGACGAUCUUUUUCCCACAGUUAUGGAAACUUAAUGUCGACAAUUUCCUUCCAGCGUCAACCUAUUUUGCGUGGUCGUCGGUGCCACAAGUGGAUGGCCUCCUCUGGUGUAUUUUACUCGCUUAUUGUCGUUCGAUCGCGCAACAAGUUGCUCCCAGUUCUCGGGAGCGUGUAUACGUUCCAAAGAGGCCACAGUUUGCACGCCACGAUCGUACACGUUGAAUGAGAGGCAUUGAAAGAGUUCUCGCGACUGGCUGGAUACGGCAUCGCGAACGAUUAAUCAUUUCUGGAUCUUUGUCGUGACAUGGAUGAAACCAAGACAUUCGCUACCUAAUUUGAUGGACGUCGUACGAUGUCAUCUUUAUGGUGCCAUUAGAUUGGGUUUCGCCGUGACGUCACUACUUGACGUGCUAAUAAAAUAAUCGUGGUGCCCAGCCUAGAUUAGCAUAAAAUCAAGCUUUAUGCCUCACGAAUGCCACUGUAAUCCGACACGCCACCCUCUGAAACGUCGACCCAUUUGGCUGCGUCUGCAAUCGUGCUUCGUACGCGAUAACUAGAAGAAUCGACGUGGACACUACGUGGAGCAGGCGUCACCGCGGACACACCUUGGCUUCCUUUGAGGAGUAAAGAUAGACA